ACACUGAACACAAAUAUUAACACAACACUUGUUUUUGCUCCCAUUUUUCAUGAGCUGAACUCAAAGAUCUAAAAUAUUUUCUAUAUACACAAAAGAACUAUUUCUCUCAAAUACUGAUCACAAAUCUGUCUGAAUCUCUUAGUGAUUCCUUCUUU